UAUGCUCGAAGGUUCUUAGAUUUGAGUCGGUAUUUCCCUGAGAGCAUGAUGGACGAAGGCAUAAAGGCAAAAAAGUUCGAAUGGGGCCUCUGUCCUGAUAUCAGACAGUAGUUGUACGUAUUUGAACUCAGUACCUACUCAGCCGUUCUGGUCAAGGCACAGCUAGUAGAGAGGAACCUUCACAUCUUUUCUCUAGCAAUGGAGAAUCCCAUACCCCCGGUUUCACAUUGUAGACCAGCACCCACUACACCGAUUCAGUAGAACAAGAGGCCUAGGCCAGUGACUCAGGCU
rnacentral:lncRNA from 1 species